UGCUGCAUGGCUGUCGUCAGUCUCGUGUCGUGAGAUGUUGGGUUAAGUCCGCAACGAGCGCAACCCUUGUCAUUAGUUGCUACAUUCAGUUGGCACUCUAAUGAGACUGCCGGUGACAAACCGGAGGAAGGUGGGGAUGACGUCAAGUCCUCAUGGCCCUUAUAGGUAGGGCUACACACGUCAUACAAUGGAUGGUACAAAGGGUCGCCAACCCGCGAGGGGGAGCCAAUCCCAUAAAACCAUUCGUAGUCCGGAUCGCAGUCUGCAACUCGACUGCGUGAAGUCGGAAUCGCUAGUAAUCGUGGAUCAGAAUGUCACGGUGAAUACGUUCCCGGGUCUU
rnacentral:rRNA from 1 species